ACCCGCUGAACUUAAGCAUAUCAAUAAGCGGAGGAAAAGAAACUAACAAGGAUUCCCCUAGUAACGGCGAGUGAAGAGGGAAAAGCUCAAAUUUUGAAUCCGACGUCUUCGGCGUCCGAGUUGUAAUCUAGAGAAGUGUUUUCCGUGUCGGACCGUGCACAAGUUCCCUGGAACGGGGCGUCAUAGAGGGUGAGAAUCCCGUACGUGGCACGGACUCCCGGUGCUCUGCGAUACACUCUCAACGAGUCGAGUUGUUUGGGAAUGCAGCUCAAAAUGGGUGGUAAAUUUCAUCUAAAGCUAAAUAUUGGCCAGAGACCGAUAGCGCACAAGUAGAGUGAUCGAAAGAUGAAAAGCACUUUGGAAAGAGAGUUAAACAGUACGUGAAAUUGUUGAAAGGGAAGCGCUUGCAAUCAGACUUGCGCCUAGUCGAUCAUCCGGGCUUCUGCCCGGUGCACUCGAUUAGGCUCAGGCCAGCAUCGGUUUGGGUGGUUGGAUAAAGGCUUGGGGAACGUAGCCUCCUUCGGGGGGUGUUAUAGCCCCAGGUGCAAUGCAGCCUACCUGGACCGAGGACCGCGCUUCGGCUAGGAUGCUGGCGUAAUGGUUGUAAGCGACCCGUCUUGAAACACGG
rnacentral:rRNA from 1 species